UACGAAGGGUGCUAGCGUUGUUCGGAAUUACUGGGCGUAAAGCGUGCGUAGGCGGACUUUUAAGCCAGAUGUGAAAUCCCGAGGCUCAACCUCGGAACUGCAUUUGGAACUGGAAGUCUAGAGACCAGGAGAGGUUAGCGGAAUACCGAGUGUAGAGGUGAAAUUCGUAGAUAUUCGGUGGAACACCAGUGGCGAAGGCGGCUAACUGGACUGGUACUGACGCUGAGGCACGAAAGUGUGGGGAGCAAACAGG
rnacentral:rRNA from 1 species